GACGAACGCUGGCGGCGUGCUUAACACAUGCAAGUCGAGCGGAAAGGCCCUGCUUUUGUGGGGUGCUCGAGUGGCGAACGGGUGAGUAACACGUGAGUAACCUGCCCUUGACUUUGGGAUAACUUCAGGAAACUGGGGCUAAUACCGGAUAGGAGCUCCUGCUGCAUGGUGGGGUUGGAAAGUUUCGGCGGUUGGGGAUGGACUCGCGGCUUAUCAGCUUGUUGGUGGGGUAGUGGCUUACCAAGGCUUUGACGGGUAGCCGGCCUGAGAGGGUGACCGGCCACAUUGGGACUGAGAUACGGCCCAGACUCCUACGGGAGGCAGCAGUGGGGAAUAUUGCACAAUGGGCGGAAGCCUGAUGCAGCAACGCCGCGUGCGGGAUGACGGCCUUCGGGUUGUAAACCGCUUUCGCCUGUGACGAAGCGUGAGUGACGGUAAUGGGUAAAGAAGCACCGGCUAACUACGUG
rnacentral:rRNA from 1 species